GAUGAACGCUGGCGGCGUGCCUAACACAUGCAAGUCGAACGGAGAUUACGGACGGAAGUUUUCGGAUGGAAGCCUGUAAUUCUUAGUGGCGGACGGGUGAGUAACGCGUGGGCAACCUGCCCUAUACAGGGGGAUAGCAGCUGGAAACGGCUGGUAAGACCGCAUAAGUCGGUUAAAUCGCAUGAUUUGAUCGGGAAAUGAGCAAUCAGGUAUAGGAUGGGCCCGCGUCCGAUUAGCCAGUUGGCAGGGUAAAAGCCUACCAAAGCGACGAUCGGUAGCCGGACUGAGAGGUCGGACGGCCACAUUGGGACUGAGACACGGCCCAAACUCCUACGGGAGGCAGCAGUGGGGGAUAUUGCACAAUGGAGGAAACUAUGAUGCAGCGACGCCGCGUGAGUGAAGAAGUAUUUCGGUAUGUAAAGCUCUAUCAGCAGGGAAGAUGAUGACGGUACCUGACGAAGAAGCCCCGGCUAACUACGUG
rnacentral:rRNA from 1 species